GCUGGAAUUCCAAGAAGGGGAUGAAUAAGGUUUUGUGAGGAGGGUUCUGGAGAAUUUCGGGGGGCAGGGGCAGGCGCAGGCGCAGGGAGAAUUCCGAGAAGGGGAUGAAGAAGGUUUUGUGAAGAGGGUUCUGGAGAAUUUCAGGGAUCCAGCGGUCGACACUUGUGUUUGUGUUCUCGACGAGUAAAGCUCAUGUGGAGACGAGGGGAUCCGCAAAGAUCCUUCAAUCUCGAUUUUAAAUCCAAGAUACAUACGAUCGGGAGUGGCCGGAUGAUCGGACGACCGAAUACAUCAUAGGGAGUAAUCCGUCCCUUUCCUUUC